rnacentral:rRNA from 1 species
UACGUAGGGUCGAGCGUUUGUCCGGAAUCACUGGGCGUAAAGGGCGCGUAGGCGGCCUGAUAAGUAGGGGGUGAAAUCCUGCGGCUUAACCGCAGGGCUGCCUUCUAAACUGUCAGGCUGGAGCACAGUAGAGGCAGGUGGAAUUCCCGGUGUAGCGGUGGAAUGCGUAGAGAUCGGGAAGAACAUCAGUGGCGAAGGCGGCCUGCUGGGCUGUUGCUGACGCUGAGGCGCGACAGCGUGGGGAGCAAACAGG